rnacentral:rRNA from 1 species
UCUGUGCUAAGGUAGCAUAAUCAUUAGUCUUUUAAUUGGGGACUGGUAUGAAUGGCUAAACGAGAAAUCAGCUUUUUUUAUUAUAUAAAUUUAAUUUAUUUUUUUAGUGAAAAAACUAAAAUUUUUCAAAAAGACGAGAAGACCCUAUAGAGUUUUAUGUGGUAAUAAAUUAAAUUAUACUAGAUUUAUAUUAAUAGAAUUUUGAUCCACAAUUUGUUGGGGCGACAUUAAGAAAUAUCAAACUCUUUUUUCUAAAUACUUUUAUAAAAGUAAGAUUUGAUCCUUUAAAAAAGAUCAUAAGAAAAAAUUACCUUAGGGAUAACAGCGUAAUCUUUUUUGAGAGUUCUAAUCGACAAAAAGGUUUGCGACCUCGAUGUUGGACUAAAAUUUAGGCAUGGUGCAGUAGCUUUGCUUUAGGGUCUGUUCGACCCGUAAUAUUUUACACGAUCUGAGUUCAGACCGGCGUAAGCCAGGUUGGU